rnacentral:rRNA from 1 species
CCUACGGGCGGCAGCAGUGAGGAAUAUUGGUCAAUGGGCGCAAGCCUGAACCAGCCAAGUCGCGUGAGGGAAGACGGCCCUACGGGUUGUAAACCUCUUUUGCCGGGGAGCAAGCCUGAGCACGUGUGCCCAGGCGGAGAGUACCCGGAGAAAAAGCAUCGGCUAACUCCGUGCCAGCAGCCGCGGUAAUACGGAGGAUGCGAGCGUUAUCCGGAUUUAUUGGGUUUAAAGGGUGCGUAGGCGGAUUGAUAAGUUAGAGGUGAAAUGUCCGAGCUUAACUCGGGAACUGCCUCUAAUACUGUUGAUCUAGAGAGUAGAUGCGGUAGGCGGAAUGUAUGGUGUAGCGGUGAAAUGCUUAGAGAUCAUACAGAACACCGAUUGCGAAGGCAGCUUACCAAUCUAUAUCUGACGUUGAGGCACGAAAGCGUGGGGAGCAAACAGGAUUAGAUACCCCAGUAGUC